UGCCAGCAGCCGCGGUAAUACAUAGGGGGCUAGCGUUGUUCGGAAUUAUUGGGCGUAAAGGGCGCGCAGGCGGUCUUGUCAGUCAGGUGUGAAAGCCCGGGGCUCAACCCGGAUGGUCACUUGAAACAGCAAGACUUGAGUACUGGAGAGGAAAGCGGAAUUCCUGGUGUAGAGGUGAAAUUCGUAGAUAUCAGGAGGGACACCGAUGGCGAAGGCAGCUUUCUGGACAGAUACUGACGCUGAGGCGCGAAGGCGUGGGUAGCGAACGGGAUUAGAUA
rnacentral:rRNA from 1 species